CCUACGGGAGGCAGCAGUGGGGAAUAUUGCACAAUGGGCGCAAGCCUGAUGCAGCCAUGCCGCGUGUAUGAAGAAGGCCUUAGGGUUGUAAAGUACUUUCAGCGGGGAGGAAGGUGAUAAGGUUAAUACCCUUAUCAAUUGACGUUACCCGCAGAAGAAGCACCGGCUAACUCCGUGCCAGCAGCCGCGGUAAUACGGAGGGUGCAAGCGUUAAUCGGAAUUACUGGGCGUAAAGCGCACGCAGGCGGUCAAUUAAGUCAGAUGUGAAAGCCCCGAGCUUAACUUGGGAAUUGCAUCUGAAACUG
rnacentral:rRNA from 1 species